rnacentral:rRNA from 1 species
AACGAACGUUGGCGGCGUGGAUUAGGCAUGCAAGUCGAACGAGAAAGCCACCUUCGGGUGGUUAGUAAAGUGGCGAACGGGUGAGUAACGCGUGGGAAAUCUGCCCUACAGUUGGGGAUAACACUCCUAACGGAGUGCUAAUACCGAAUGAGACCACGAGAUCGCAUGGUCUUGAGGUUGAAGGUGGCCUCUCCUUGGAAGCUACCGCUGCAGGAGGAUCCCGCGUCCCAUUAGCUUGUUGGCAGGGUAACGGCCUACCAAGGCUUCGAUGGGUAGCUGGUCUGAGAGGAUGGUCAGCCACACUGGGACUGAGAUACGGCCCAGACUCCUACGGGAGGCAGCAGUGGGGAAUAUUGGACAAUGGGCGAAAGCCUGAUCCAGCAAUGCCGCGUGUGUGAAGAAGGCCUGAGGGUUGUAAAGCACUUUCAAUCGUGAAGAAAAGUUGCAGGCUAAUACCCUGUGACCUUGACGUUAACGAUACAAGAAGCACCGGCU